rnacentral:rRNA from 1 species
UACAGAGGUCUCAAGCGUUGUUCGGAUUCAUUGGGCGUAAAGGGUGUGUAGGUGGCGCCGUAAGUCGGGUGUGAAAUUUCGGAGCUUAACUCCGAACCUGCAUUCGAUACUGCGGUGCUUGAGGACUGGAGAGGAGACUGGAAUUCAUGGUGUAGCAGUGAAAUGCGUAGAGAUCAUGAGGAAGACCAGUGGCGAAGGCGGGUCUCUGGACAGUUCCUGACACUGAGACACGAAGGUCAGGGGAGCAAACGGG